CGAACUGAACACAUAUAUUGACAAAACAUAUUGGCACUAGCUGCAAGUAUUAGAGGUUUUACGUCACAUGGAUAUCCUGAAGAAAUUUUCUUAUAGGUAAAGCUCGAUCUACAAAUAGGAAAAACACUGAGGCUUACGACUAUAUUUCGUCUGUUUGGUGAUUGUGUUGACUCCUCCCCUUCUAAGACGAAGGCUGUCCACAGACUUUUUACAAUUGGCAAAUCUAUUUGAAAGCGGAUCUUACGGGUAACAUUGGUUGUGCUUACAGCUUACUAAUUGCCACUAACUUCCCAUACUGCCAACUUGGUACUGCGUUAAACCAUCGAAGGGAAGGCAGCUCUGCAUAUCUGGAUGAUCCGAGAAGUUCGUAAAUGCGGUUGAUUCUCCAUGUCAUGGGUUCGCAACAAGGUUCUGGAGAUGAUCGUAGCGAACUUGGAAAAAAUCUUUAUUGUAACCGUCGACUUAUUGACGCUGAUGCUGAUGUUGGUUGAACUAGUAGACCAUCAAAACGUAUUUGUUGAACGCACUCUGGAUUGCGUCUGAUGGCAGAUAUUCAGUUCGUCGUUUCAGUACCCAGGCGCAGAAAUAGUUGCCGCAUCUGUACGUCUUUAGCAGAUAGAUCUUAAUUCCCUCUUCUACUCUUCUCAUCUACUUAAGAGGUUAGAGUUGAUUAGCCAAUGCCGAUGGUUUUGUCUCCGGAUCCUCCUUUUGUUAUUUAUUUAUAAUUAUCGUAGGUUUUAAUAUCCGUUUGGGCGCCAAUUAUUGUUGAAUAGAUUUUCAAUAUAUUUAUUAGUGUAGGUUUAUUAAUUAUAAUAGGGCUUGUGCGGUUUGCACUUAAUGAGGCGAAUUGUAAGUACGUGGCGAUGACCGACGCUUCUAAUCUCCCAAAAUCGACUGACUUAAGUAUAGCAAGAGUUCUUAUCUCAACAGCUUAAUCUACUAAUAACAAAGUACAGUUUCUUAUAGGAAUAUACUUGAGGCUUAUAGGAAAAAUACUUGAGGCUUACGACUAUAUUUCGUCUGUUUGGUGAUUGUGUUAACUUGCAUAAACAUAUACAAACACACACAUCAUUACUACUGUGUGUGCAGUUUGGUUGCCGGUGCAAAUACAGGGCUUGUAAAACUGUUCACCAUUGUGCGUGCAUUCUACAUUGACCGGUUCAAAAUUCAGUGCGUGAAUUAUUAAAAUAAAUUAAAAUGUCAAACAACGACACAGUCAGUUUGCCAGCUGACAGAAUAACAUUUUUAAAGCACAAAAAAAAGCUGCAGGAUUAACCACCGAAUCGGUCACUUGCCAGAAUGAUUAUGGCCUGCAUUUAAAGCUCAAGAUCGCUUACAGGAGGCAAAAAGGUUGGCUUUAUGCCAAAACUGCCUUAAGAGUGGACAUCACCUACGACAUUGUAAUGCCGAUCGCUGUCGUAUUUGUGGAAGUAAGCACAACAAAUUGCUACAUUCGUUGCCAACAUCGCAGCUUUGGUAGCUCUACUAUCACGGACAAACAGCCCAACCUAACUGUAAAUUCUGAGGACUGGAAAAUACCAGCUAAUCUUAAUCUUAAUAAUCUAAUUCUUCAGGCCCCAAAAAAUUGACUUGCUGAUAAGCGCUAGUCUUUUUCAAAUAAAAUUGGCAGAUGGACUUCCCAUUCUCAAAAAAACUCGUUUUGGAUGGAUUAUCACCGGUGGUGGCUCAAACCAAAGACACUAGAAUAACAAGAUGCGUAACGGCCAUACAAUGGUUUGGCACUAUGCAGCCACUUUUUUGGUGACGGCCUAAAUUGGUCUCUGUCCGUUUGCUUACGCUGAGAGCGUAAGAAAUCUAAAAAUAGAAUUUGCUUGCUUAUGUGAGUAAAAACAAUAGA